CCUAUGGGAGGCAGCAGUGAGGAAUAUUGGUCAAUGGGCGAGAGCCUGAACCAGCCAAGUCGCGUGAAGGAUGACGGCCCUACGGGUUGUAAACUUCUUUUGUCAGGGAGCAAUUGAGUCCACGUGUGGUCUUAGCGAGAGUACCUGAAGAAAAAGCAUCGGCUAACUCCGUGCCAGCAGCCGCGGUAAUACGGAGGAUGCGAGCGUUAUCCGGAUUUAUUGGGUUUAAAGGGUGCGCAGGCGGAUUUUUAAGUCAGCGGUCAAAUCGUGGGGCUCAACCCCAUCCAGCCGUUGAAACUGGGGAUCUAGAGUGUGCGAGAGGUAUGCGGAAUGCGUGGUGUAGCGGUGAAAUGCAUAGAUAUCACGCAGAACCCCGAUUGCGAAGGCAGCAUACCGGUGCACAACUGACGCUCAGGCACGAAAGCGUGGGUAUCGAACAGGAUUAGAUACCCCAGUAGUC
rnacentral:rRNA from 1 species